rnacentral:rRNA from 2 species
GCUAUACAUGCAAGUCGAACGCGUUGGCCCAAUUGAUUGAUGGUGCUUGCACCUGAUUGAUUUUGGUCGCCAACGAGUGGCGGACGGGUGAGUAACACGUAGGUAACCUGCCCAGAAGCGGGGGACAACAUUUGGAAACAGAUGCUAAUACCGCAUAACAGCGUUGUUCGCAUGAACAACGCUUAAAAGAUGGCUUCUCGCUAUCACUUCUGGAUGGACCUGCGGUGCAUUAGCUUGUUGGUGGGGUAACGGCCUACCAAGGCGAUGAUGCAUAGCCGAGUUGAGAGACUGAUCGGCCACAAUGGGACUGAGACACGGCCCAUACUCCUACGGGAGGCAGCAGUAGGGAAUCUUCCACAAUGGGCGCAAGCCUGAUGGAGCAACACCGCGUGAGUGAAGAAGGGUUUCGGCUCGUAAAGCUCUGUUGUUAAAGAAGAACACGUAUGAGAGUAACUGUUCAUACGUUGACGGUAUUUAACCAGAAAGUCACGGCUAACUACGUGCCAGCAGCCGCGGUAAUACGUAGGUGGCAAGCGUUAUCCGGAUUUAUUGGGCGUAAAGAGAGUGCAGGCGGUUUUCUAAGUCUGAUGUGAAAGCCUUCGGCUUAACCGGAGAAGUGCAUCGGAAACUGGAUAACUUGAGUGCAGAAGAGGGUAGUGGAACUCCAUGUGUAGCGGUGGAAUGCGUAGAUAUAUGGAAGAACACCAGUGGCGAAGGCGGCUACCUGGUCUGCAACUGACGCUGAGACUCGAAAGCAUGGGUAGCGAACAGGAUUAGAUACCCUGGUAGUCCAUGCCGUAAACGAUGAGUGCUAGGUGUUGGAGGGUUUCCGCCCUUCAGUGCCGGAGCUAACGCAUUAAGCACUCCGCCUGGGGAGUACGACCGCAAGGUUGAAACUCAAAGGAAUUGACGGGGGCCCGCACAAGCGGUGGAGCAUGUGGUUUAAUUCGAAGCUACGCGAAGAACCUUACCAGGUCUUGACAUCUUGCGCCAACCCUAGAGAUAGGGCGUUUCCUUCGGGAACGCAAUGACAGGUGGUGCAUGGUCGUCGUCAGCUCGUGUCGUGAGAUGUUGGGUUAAGUCCCGCAACGAGCGCAACCCUUGUUACUAGUUGCCAGCAUUAAGUUGGGCACUCUAGUGAGACUGCCGGUGACAAACCGGAGGAAGGUGGGGACGACGUCAGAUCAUCAUGCCCCUUAUGACCUGGGCUACACACGUGCUACAAUGGACGGUACAACGAGUCGCGAACUCGCGAGGGCAAGCAAAUCUCUUAAAACCGUUCUCAGUUCGGACUGCAGGCUGCAACUCGCCUGCACGAAGUCGGAAUCGCUAGUAAUCGCGGAUCAGCAUGCCGCGGUGAAUACGUUCCCGGGCCUUGUACACACCGCCCGUCACACCAUGAGAGUUUGUAACACCCAAAGUCGGUGGGGUAACCUUUUAGGAGCCAGCCGCCUAAGG